UACGUAGGGGGCAAGCGUUGUCCGGAUUUAUUGGGCGUAAAGAGCGUGUAGGCGGCUUUACAGGUCCGUUGUGAAAACUCGAGGCUCAACCUCGAGACGCCGGUGGAAACCGUAAGGCUAGAGUCCGGAAGAGGAGAGUGGAAUUCCUGGUGUAGCGGUGAAAUGCGCAGAUAUCAGGAGGAACACCCGUGGCGAAAGCGGCUCUCUGGGACGGUACUGACGCUGAUGCGCGAAAGCCAGGGGAGCGAACGGG
rnacentral:rRNA from 1 species